CCUUUGACCCCGGAAGUGGGCGGGAGAGGAAGCAGCUGGUGAUGCUGGAACCAACAUGGCCGCCCCUCGGCCCCUCGGCCCCUUGGGCUCCUGCCGUCUUCGGCUGGCCGCGGGCCUCCGGCUGCUCCCGGUGCUGGGGCUGCUGCAGCUGUUGGCCGAGUCCGGCCUGGGCCGCGUCCACCACCUGGCACUCAAAGAUGAUGUGAGACAUAAAGUUCACCUGAACACCUUUGGGUUCUUCAAGGACGGGUACAUGGUGGUUAAUGUCAGCAGCCUCUCAGUGAAUGAGCCUGAAGGAGCCGCAGACAAGGAUGCAGCUAUUGGAUUCAGCUUGGACCGUACAAAGAAUGAUGGCUUUACUUCCUACCUGGAUGAAGAUGUGAAUUACUGUAUUUUAAGGAAGCAGUCUGUCUCUGUUACCCUUCUAAUCCUAGACAUCUCCAGAAGUGAAGUAAAAAUCAGGUCUCCACCAGAAGCUGGUACCCAGUUACCAAAGAUCAUCUUCAGCAAGGAUGAGAAAGUCCCUGGCCAGAGUCAGGAGCCUGGUGUCGCUGCUGUCUCAGCUGGCAGUCAGACUCAGAAGGCACAAGAUGGUGGAAGGUCUAAAAGAAGUACAGUGGAUUCAAAGGCAGUGGGAGAAAAAUCCUUUUCUAUUCAUAAUAAUGCUGGGGCAGUUUCAUUUCAGUUUUUUUUUAACAUCAGCACUGAUGACCAGGAAGGCCUUUACAGUCUUUAUUUUCAUAAGUGCCCUGGCAAAGAACUGCGGCCUAGUGACAAGUUUUCAUUCAGCCUUGAUAUUGAGAUCACAGAGAAGAAUCCUGACAGCUAUCUCUCAGCAGGAGAAAUCCCUCUCCCCAAAUUAUACAUUUCUAUGGCUUUUUUCUUCUUCCUUUCUGGGACCAUCUGGAUUCACAUCCUUCGAAAGCGAAGGAAUGAUGUCUUUAAAAUUCACUGGUUGAUGGCUGCUCUUCCUUUCACCAAGUCGCUUUCGUUGGUGUUCCACGCAAUUGACUAUCACUACAUCUCCUCCCAGGGCUUCCCGAUUGAGGGCUGGGCUGUUGUGUACUACAUAACCCACCUGUUGAAAGGGGCGCUGCUGUUCAUCACCAUCGCGCUCAUUGGCACCGGCUGGGCUUUCAUUAAGCACAUCCUCUCUGAUAAAGACAAGAAGAUUUUCAUGAUCGUCAUCCCACUCCAGGUCCUGGCAAAUGUGGCCUACAUCAUCAUCGAGUCCACAGAGGAGGGCACAACCGAGUAUGGCUUGUGGAAGGACUCUCUGUUCCUGGUUGACCUGCUGUGCUGUGGCGCCAUCCUCUUCCCAGUGGUGUGGUCAAUCAGACAUUUACAAGAAGCCUCAGCCACAGAUGGAAAAGCUGCCAUUAACUUAGCAAAGCUGAAACUUUUCAGACAUUACUACGUCUUGAUUGUGUGUUACAUAUACUUCACCAGGAUCAUUGCAUUUCUCCUUAAACUUGCUGUUCCAUUCCAGUGGAAGUGGCUCUACCAGCUCCUGGAUGAAAUGGCCACACUGGUAUUCUUCGUUCUGACGGGGUAUAAAUUCCGCCCAGCUUCAGAUAACCCCUACCUACAACUGUCUCAGGAGGAAGAUGACUUGGAAAUGGAGUCUGUAGUGACGACGUCAGGGGUGAUGGAAAACAUGAAGAAAGUCAAGAAGGUGACCAAUGGCUCUGCGGAGCCCCCGGGCGACUGGGAAGGCACUGCGUGAGCGCCGACAGGGAGGAUGGCGCUGUCAGAGAACACUGCAGCUUACCCAUAGUCCUCUUGUUUGAUGAGUUGACGAUGCGCGCGCGGUCGCCUAGCCUCUGCGGAGCGUUCCCGUCACCCCUGAGUGCUCAGGUGCCCUCCCAGCCAGAGGCCAUGCCUGCUCUGACCUGCCUGUCCCAGAGCUUCCACGGGAAUGGAGUCCCAGUGCCACCGUGGUGUGUCUGGCUUCUUUCCCGAAGCAUGUUGAUUUUGUGAUUCGUACAUUCGAAGCUCUGCCUAGAAAACUACGAAAUCCAGAGCCCAAAGAAGGUUCUGCUGCCUCCCGUCCCCCCCACCCCAGCAACCGUGUCAGAUCCAGGCUGAGACCCUGGGCCUCAAGUGGAGAAUCAAGUGGAGGGCCCGGCCGUGGGGCUGGGACAGGGCUGUUGGCUGCUGCUGUGUUGGUGAUAGAGGUAGGACAGUCCUGGUUCACCCCACCUUAGAAUUUCGGAAUGGAAAGGAGGAUUAGGGUGCACGUCAGGUGGCCAGCACACUACCCAGAGGGGCACUCAACCACAGCUCCUGCCACUGGCUCCACGGCGGUUCUGGACAAAAGCCUGAGGAGGGGGCUGGGCGUGUGGUCCAACUUCAGCAGCACGUGGAUCCCUGGGUUCUGGGUGGAGUCUGCAUUGCUGACCUGCUUCUGGCGAUGCUGACAAGUGCCACACCUGGAGAACAGUGCUCACCAGGCCCUCAAAUCCAGGGUCGGUCCAGCUGGCACAGGGACUGAUGCGCACCUGGAAGAGCUCACCUUGCCCAGAGCGCCUGCUGACCCGAGCAGCAGCUCUGCCUGCCUGGGGGGUUGCAGGUGGCUGGGGAGAGGUGGCACGGCCUGGCUGUCCUGCUUCCCUGAGCCAGCUAAACAAGGGCCCUUGCUGUCCCCCCAACCACCUGGAGUUCCCAGCUGGACAUUCUACUGUCCAGGCAGCCUGAAGGCCAGCUCAGAGCCACGGAGCCCAGCGCCUCCCUGGGCUGGGCACUGAAGACGGCCUGCACAGCCCCGGAGCUUCCCUCUUGCUCAUGUCCUGGGCAGAGCCGCCCACCCGAGCACUCAUCUAAUGAGCACCCUGACGUGCCUGUCCCUCAGGCUGGACCUCCUCCAGCAAGACCCUUCCUGAGGUGGUUGGCCCCUCUGAACAUCCCCUCUGUCCCCUUGGGUUUGCUGAGCUGUCCAUCACAUGGCCAUUGACAGUGCAGACGCCACCAGCCAGUGACUAUUAAUGGGAGGAGAGGAGGCAAACUCCAGACUCCACCACCGGUGUCCUGUGUCCUUCACGGCAGUGUUGGGUUCCUGGGACCUUCAUCCUCGGAGGCUCCGCUGUCCUGCUCUCCAACUCUGUGGGUCUUCUUUCAGCCUCGCACUGUUCUGAGUUCCCCAGGGCUUGAUACUCGGCUGCUUUAAAGGCACAUCAGUGCCACACGUCCAAAGUGAAUUGCCACCCCUCUCAUCCUGGUAGGUGUGAUCUGAACCCAACCAGGCCCGUCCUUGGUGCCUCCCUUCCCACACCCACCCAGCCCUGUGUUCCAGUUGCCCACUUCUCUCUCCCCACUGCUGCUGCCGGGGCGUCCUCCCUUACCCCGGCCAGCUGGUGGCUGACCCCAGUCUUGUCCUCCUUCUAGCCUGUUUUCCAUGUGUUAGCCAGGGUGACUUUUCAAAAGUGCCUGCCCACCACAUUAGGCCCAGAGAUCUAAAAAUGAGCCAGGAGGAUAUGAGCACUAUGCAAAUAUCAAGUGCAUUUCUGUACACUUGGCAAUGGACCCUCCAAAGGUAAAACUAGAAGGGGCUGGCCUGCAGUUGUGACUCAGUGACAGAGCGCUUGCCUGGCACAUCCGAGGUGCUGGGUUCGAUCCUCAGCACCACAUAAAAAAGUAUUGUGUCCAUCAUCUACUAAAAGAGAUAAAUAGAAAAGGCCGGAUGUGGCUCAGUGGUAGCACAUGGGAGGAGGAGGGGCGGCAUUCAACAGAAGUGCAAAACUUAAACCCUGACAACCGUUAGCACACCGGAAAAAAGGCCUAGGACUGGGCUGCAGAGCGCUUGCCUAGCACGUGUGAAGCACCGGGUUUGAUCCUCAGCACCACAUAAAAAAAAAAAUAAAGGCAUUGUGUCCAUCCAAAACUAAAAUAAAUAUUUAAAAAAGUAAAUAAAAUAUAAAAGAAGGCCUACAUAAAUGAAAAGACAUUCCACAUUUGUGGAUCCAAAGAUAAUAUGGUUAAGGUAUUCCUCGACUUGACCUUCAAAGUCAGUGUAAUCUCUGUCAAACUCCCAACGACUUUGCACAGAUUCCAAGCUGAUCCUAAAAUUUUUCUGUAAGUCAAGGAAUCGAGGUGACCGACUCCUCAGUUUUAAAACUUGCCACAAAGAUAAGGAAUUAAGAAAGAGCCGAGCGAGCGCUGUGGCACACACCUGUCUUCCCAGCUGCUCUGGAGGCAAAGGCAGGAGGCCAGCCUCAGCAACUUAGAGAGACGCUGCCUCAAAAAAUAAGGGCCGGACUCAGCGGUGGGGCGCAGUGGGUCAGCCCCAGGAGGACACACACUGCCAUGACUUUAGACACAGGUCAACUCAAGUGCUAAGAUGACCUCUUGAAAAAAAACGGGUAAGUCUUCACAUCCUCUGUCAGACAAGGGUCCAAAGGACAAGCCACACACACACACACACACACACACACAAAACUGGACUUGAUAGAAAGUAAAAUGUGCUUCAAAGGACAUCAUCAGGAAAGUGCAGAGGGCCAGGUACAGUGGGCUGUGCCUAUUGUCCUAGCCACUUCAGAGACAGGCUGAGCUGGGAGUUUGAGACCAACUUGGACAACAUAGACCCCAGUUUCUAAUAAUUAAAAGAAAAUGGGAAAAGGCAGCUCAAAUAUUUGCAAGUAGUUUAUGUGGUAAGGGUUUCAUUUCCAGAACAUAUGAAAACUCUUAGGAUUAAGUAAUAAAAAGAAACCCAAAUUAAAAAUGAGCAAAAGAUCUGAACAGGCAUUUCACCCGGCACACUGAGCUCCAGGUUGUAACGAGUCAGAAUCUCCUUCCUUGUGAAGGUUGGCUCAUACGCUUCUGUAAUAGGGACCACCUGCUGUCUCCUUAUUCAUUCGUCAGUGGUCAUUCUGAUGCUGCUCAGAGCCCUGCUGUCGCUUCCUGAGCACACACCAGAGGUGGGGCUGCUGGCUCAGGGCAAUUUCACUUUUAGUUUUUUUCGAGGAAUUGCCAUCACAUUUUCUGCGUCCCCGCUUACGUUCCCACGAACCAGGCACAGACUCCCAGCUUUGCUUUGCCAACACUUGCUGUUUUCUUGGAAUUGGUUUUUAUUUGUUUUUAGUGAUAGCCUUCCAGAUACCUCUUUGUGAUUUGUGGGUUUUUAUUUUCUUGGAACAAAAUGUGUAUAUUUCUGUUGGACCACCUGACACAGGAGAUAGUGUGAUGUGGAUGGAUAGUAUGAAUGACAGGUAAUACAAAGAGAUUUUAUUUGAAUAAACAAAAGUGCUUAACACA